rnacentral:rRNA from 1 species
UACGAAGGGGGCUAGCGUUGCUCGGAAUCACUGGGCGUAAAGCGCACGUAGGCGGCUUCUUAAGUCAGGGGUGAAAUCCUGGAGCUCAACUCCAGAACUGCCUUUGAUACUGAGGAGCUCGAGUCCGGAAGAGGUGAGUGGAACUGCGAGUGUAGAGGUGAAAUUCGUAGAUAUUCGGAAGAACACCAGUGGCGAAGGCAGCGAAUUGGCGCUAUAUUGACGCUCAGGCACGAAAGCAUGGGGAUCAAACAGG